GACGAACGCUGGCGGCGUGCUUAACACAUGCAAGUCGAACGGAAAGGCCCUGCUUUUGUGGGGUGCUCGAGUGGCGAACGGGUGAGUAACACGUGAGUAACCUGCCCUUGACUUUGGGAUAACUUCAGGAAACUGGGGCUAAUACCGGAUAGGAGCUCCUGCUGCAUGGUGGGGGUUGGAAAGUUUCGGCGGUUGGGGAUGGACUCGCGGCUUAUCAGCUUGUUGGUUGGGUAGUGGCUUACCAAGGCUUUGACGGGUAGCCGGCCUGAGAGGGUGACCGGCCACAGUGGGACUGAGAUACGGCCCAGACUCCUACGGGAGGCAGCAGUGGGGAAUAUUGCACAAUGGGCGGAAGCCUGAUGCAGCAACGCCGCGUGCGGGAUGACGGCCUUCGGGUUGUAAACCGCUUUCGCCUGUGACGAAGCGUGAGUGACGGUAAUGGGUAAAGAAGCACCGGCUAACUACGU
rnacentral:rRNA from 1 species